rnacentral:tRNA from 1 species
GCCUGGCUGGCUCAAUCAGAAGAGCAAAAGACUCUUGAUCUUGGUGUAGUGAGUUCGAGCCCCACAUUGGGCA